AUUUUCUGACGGGUUCGAUUUUGGAGGGGCGAAAAAGUGGGUAUUUACUAUCAUAUUGAGUUUCAACGUCAGUUGUGGGACCAAAACACCAACUAUAAGGAAUUAUGCUUCGUAAAUGGAAGAGAAGUAGUAAAAGAUGUCAAUGGAUGGAAAAAACAU